rnacentral:rRNA from 1 species
AGAACGAACGCUGGCGGCAUGCCUAACACAUGCAAGUCGAACGCUCUUGGGGCUUCGGUUCCAAGGGAGUGGCGCACGGGUGAGUAGCGCGUGGGAACCUGCCCUGGAGUGGGGGAUAACCGAUGGAAACGUCGGCUAAUACCGCAUACGUCCUGAGGGAGAAAGAUUUAUCGC